rnacentral:rRNA from 1 species
GAUGAACGCUGGCGGCGUGCCUAAUACAUGCCAGUCGAGCGAACAGACGAGGAGCUUGCUCCUCUGACGUUAGCGGCGGACGGGUGAGUAACACGUGGAUAACCUACCUAUAAGACUGGGAUAACUUCGGGAAACCGGAGCUAAUACCGGAUAAUAUAUUGAACCGCAUGGUUCAAUAGUGAAAGACGGUUUUGCUGUCACUUAUAGAUGGAUCCGCGCCGCAUGAGCUAGUUGGUAAGGUAACGGCUUACCAAGGCAACGAUGCGUAGCCGACCUGAGAGGGUGAUCGGCCACACUGGAACUGAGACACGGUCCAGACUCCUACGGGAGGCAGCAGUAGGGAAUCUUCCGCAAUGGGCGAAAGCCUGACGGAGCAACGCCGCGUGAGUGAUGAAGGUCUUCGGAUCGUAAAACUCUGUUAUUAGGGAAGAACAAAUGUGUAAGUAACUAUGCACGUCUUGACGGUACCUAAUCAGAAAGCCACGGCUAACUACGUG